rnacentral:rRNA from 1 species
AAGGGCGAGUAAUGCAUUCCUACGUGCCCCGAGGUCAGGGAUAGCCCCAGGGAAACUUGGAGUAAAACCUGAAUGUGAUCUCCGGAUCAAAGAUUUAUCGCCUCGGGAGCGGGGAAUGUCCUAUCAGAUAGUUGGUGAGGUAACGGCUCACCAAGGCAAAGACGGGUAGCGGGUGUGAGAGCACGACCCGCCGCAUCGGAAUUGAGACACUGUCCGGACUCCUACGGGAGGCUGCAGUAACGAAUCUUCCGCAAUGCACGAAAGUGUGACGGAGCAAUGCCGCGUGCAGGAUGAAGCCUUUCGGGGUGUAAACUGCUGUCAGGGGUCACCAACACAAUGAGGAGCCCCAAAGGAAGAGGCGACUAACUCUGUGCCAGCAGUCGCGGUAAUACAGAGGCCUCGAGCGUUAAUCGGAAUCACUGGGCUUAAAGCGUACGUAGGCGGGCGCGCAGGCAUCUUGUGAAAUCCCACGGCUCAACCGUGGAAUUGCUUGGUGAACCGCGCGUCUAGAGUCAGGUAGGGGCCGCCGGAACGAUAGGUGGAGCGGUGAAAUGCGUUGAUAUCUAUCGGAACGCCAAAGGUGAAGACAGGCGGCUGGGCCUGCACUGACGCUGAGGUACGAAAGCGUGGGGAGCAAACGGGAUUAGAUACCCCGGUAGUCCACGCCGUAAACGAUGUGCACUGGAUCGAGGGGGUUCUGACGCCGCCCUUGGUCGAAGCGAAAGCGUUGAGUGCACCGCCUGGGGAGUACGGUCGCAAGGCUAAAACUCAAAGGAAUUGACGGGGGCCCGCACAAGCGGUGGAGCAUGUGGUUUAAUUUGAAGCAACGCGCAGAACCUUACCAGCCCUUGACAUCCCUCUUGAGCAUACCAGAGAUGGUUUGCGUCGGUUCGGCCGGAGAGGAGACAGGUGCUGCAUGGCUGUCGUCAGCUCGUGUCGUGAGAUGUUGGGUUAAGUCCCGCAACGAGCGCAACCCUCGCCUUUAGUUGCCAUCAUUCAGUUGGGCACUCUAGAGGAACUGCCGGUGAUAAACCGGAGGAAGGUGGGGAUGACGUCAAGUCCUCAUGGCCCUUAUGGGCUGGGCUACACACGUGCUACAAUGGCGGUGACAGUGGGGAGCGAAGGGGCGACCUGGAGCUAAUCCUCAAAAGCCGUCUCAGUUCGGAUUGUACUCUGCAACUCGAGUGCAUGAAGUCGGAAUCGCUAGUAAUCGCGGAUCAGCAUGCCGCGGUAAAGUCCGGGCU